rnacentral:misc_RNA from 1 species
GAUGAAGAACGCAGCGAAAUGCGAUAAGUAAUGUGAAUUGCAGAAUUCAGUGAAUCAUCGAAUCUUUGAGCGCACAUUGCGCCCCCCAGUAUUCUGGCGGGCAUGCCUGUUCGAGCGUCAUUUCAACCAUCAAGCCCUGCUUGUGUUGGGGUCCUGCGGCUGCCCGCAGGCCCUGAAAACCAGUGGCGGGCUCGCUAGUCACACCGAGCGCAGUAGCACAUCUCGCUCAGGGCGUGCGGCGGGCUCCAGCCGUUAAAGCACCCACCUUUCGCAAGGUUGACCUCGGAUCAGGUAGGAAUACCCGCUGAACUUAAGCAUAUCAAUAAGCGGAGGA